rnacentral:tRNA from 1 species
GCCCCCGUGGCGGAAUUGGUAGACGCGCCUGACUCAAAAUCAGGUUCCUCACGGAGUGUUGGUUCGAGCCCGACCGGGGGUA